GACGAACGCUGGCGGCGUGCUUAACACAUGCAAGUCGAACGGAAAGGCCCCCUUGUGGGGUACUCGAGUGGCGAACGGGUGAGUAACACGUGAGUAACCUACCCUUGACUUUGGGAUAACUUCAGGAAACUGGGGCUAAUACCGGAUAGGAGCUCCUGCUGCAUGGUGGGGGUUGGAAAGUUUCGGCGGUUGGGGAUGGACUCGCGGCUUAUCAGCUUGUUGGUGGGGUAGUGGCUCACCAAGGCUUUGACGGGUAGCCGGCCUGAGAGGGUGACCGGCCACAUUGGGACUGAGAUACGGCACAGACUCCUACGGGAGGCAGCAGUGGGGAAUAUUGCACAAUGGGCGGAAGCCUGAUGCAGCAACGCCGCGUGCGGGAUGACGGCCUUCGGGUUGUAAACCGCUUUCGCCUGUGACGAAGCGUGAGUGACGGUAAUGGGUAAAGAAGCACCGGCUAACUACGUG
rnacentral:rRNA from 1 species